GACGAACGCUGGCGGCGCGCCUAGCACAUGCAAGUCGAGCGAGAACCAGUCCUUCGGGUCUGGGGACAGCGGCGAACGGGUGAGUAACACGUGAGUAACCUGCCCUCGGCACCGGAAUAGCCCGGGGAAACUCGGAUUAAUGCCGGAUAGCCCCUCCGCCUCUCGGGGCGGCGGGAAAAGGUAGCUUCGGCCUCUGGCCGAGGAUGGGCUCGCGGUGGAUUAGCUUGUUGGCGGGGUAACGGCCCACCAAGGCGACGAUCCAUAGCUGGUCUGAGAGGACGAUCAGCCACACUGGGACUGAGAAACGGCCCAGACUCCUACGGGAGGCAGCAGUGGGGAAUCUUGCGCAAUGGGCGAAAGCCUGACGCAGCGACGCCGCGUGAGGGAAGAAGGCCUUCGGGUUGUAAACCUCUUUCAGGAGGGACGAAGCCACUCGGGUGAAUAGCCCAGAGGGUGACGGUACCUCCAGAAGAAGCCCCGGCUAACUACGUGCCAGCCGCCGCCGUAAGAC
rnacentral:rRNA from 1 species